rnacentral:rRNA from 1 species
UACGAAGGGUGCAAGCGUUAAUCGGAAUUACUGGGCGUAAAGGGUGCGUAGGCGGUUGUUUAAGUCUGUCGUGAAAUCCCCGGGCUCAACCUGGGAAUGGCGAUGGAUACUGGGCAGCUAGAGUGUGUCAGAGGAUGGUGGAAUUCCCGGUGUAGCGGUGAAAUGCGUAGAGAUCGGGAGGAACAUCAGUGGCGAAGGCGGCCAUCUGGGACAACACUGACGCUGAAGCACGAAAGCGUGGGGGGCAAACAGG